rnacentral:rRNA from 10 species
UUGACCUCGGAUCAGGUAGGGAUACCCGCUGAACUUAAGCAUAUCAAUAAGCGGAGGAAAAGAAACCAACAGGGAUUGCCCUAGUAACGGCGAGUGAAGCGGCAAGAGCUCAAAUUUGAAAGCUGGCUCCUUCGGGGUCCGCAUUGUAAUUUGCAGAGGAUGCUUCGGGAGCGGUCCCCGUCUAAGUGCCCUGGAACGGGCCGUCAUAGAGGGUG